GCUGGGCAAGGUGGUUCAUGCCUGUAAUUCCAUCUACUUGGGAGACUGAGGUAGGAGGAUCACAUGAUCAAGGACAUCCUCAGCAAUUUAGUGAGACCCUGUCUCAA
rnacentral:sRNA from 1 species